UAUUGCCACGAGUUGGCAUAAUAGAGAAGUCAGCAGAAGUCAUAGUACCUAAAGGAAACGAGGUGCAGCAAACUGCAUAGGUCUCACAAUUAGGGAAGGAC
rnacentral:ncRNA from 1 species